rnacentral:rRNA from 1 species
CAGCAGCCGCGGGAAUACGGAGGGGGCUAGCGUUGUUCGGAAUUACUGGGCGUAAAGCGCACGUAGGCGGCUUGGUAAGUUAGAGGUGAAAGCCCGGAGCUCAACUCCGGAAUUGCCUUUAAAACUGCCGAGCUAGUAGGUGAGAGAGGUAAGUGGAAUUCCGAGUGUAGCGGUGAAAUGCGUAGAGAUCUGGAGGAAUACCGGUGGCGAAGGCGGCCCCCUGGACAAAGACUGACGCUCAGGUGCGAAAGCGUGGGGAGCAAACAGGAUUAGAUACCCCAGUAGUCCCUGUCUCUUAUAC